AGCAGCCGCGGUAAUUCCAGCUCCAAUAGCGUAUAUUAAAGUUGUUGCAGUUAAAAAGCUCGUAGUUGAACUUCGGGGUUUACUCAUUGGUCAGGCUUAAUUGUCUGUACUGGUGAGAUGAAUCUCUACCUUCUGAGGAACUUUCAUGCCAUUUAUUUGGUGUGGUUGGAAAUCAGGACUGUUACUUUGAAAAAAUUAGAGUGUUUAAAGCAGGCUAACGUCUGAAUACAUUAGCAUGGAAUAAUGAAAUAGGACGGAUUGAUUCUAUUUCGUUGGUUUCUAGGGUCACCGUAAUGAUUAAUAGGGAUAGUUGGGGGCAUUAGUAUUCAAUUGUCAGAGGUGAAAUUCUUGGAUUUAUUGAAGACUAACUACUGCGAAAGCAUUUGCCAAGGAUGUUUUCAUUAAUCAAGAACGAAAGUUAGGGGAUCGAAGACGAUCAGAUACCGUCGUAGUCUUAACCAUAAACUAUGCCGACUAGGGAUCGGACGAAGUUAAUUAAUAAUGACGCGUUCGGCACCUUACG
rnacentral:rRNA from 1 species